rnacentral:rRNA from 1 species
GAUAAACGCUGGCGGCGUGCUUAACACAUGCAAGUCGAACGAAGUUUUUCUUUCGGGAUAAACUUAGUGGCGGACGGGUGAGUAACGCGUGGGUAACCUGCCCUGUACAGGGGGACAACAGCUGGAAACGGCUGCUAAUACCGCAUAAGCCCUUAGCACUGCAUGGUGCAUAGGGAAAAGGAGCAAUCCGGUACAGGAUGGACCCGCGUCUGAUUAGCCAGUUGGCAGGGUAACGGCCUACCAAAGCGACGAUCAGUAGCCGAUCUGAGAGGAUGUACGGCCACAUUGGGACUGAGACACGGCCCAGACUCCUACGGGAGGCAGCAGUGGGGAAUAUUGCACAAUGGAGGAAACUCUGAUGCAGCGACGCCGCGUGAGUGAAGAAGUAUUUCGGUAUGUAAAGCUCUAUCAGCAGGGAAGAAAAUGACGGUACCUGACUAAGAAGCA